rnacentral:rRNA from 1 species
UACGUAGGGUGCAAGCGUUGUCCGGAAUUAUUGGGCGUAAAGAGCGUGUAGGCGGCCUGACAAGUCUGCUGUGAAAACUCGAGGCUCAACCUCGAGAUGUCGGCGGAAACUGUCUGGCUAGAGUCCGGAAGAGGAGAGUGGAAUUCCUGGUGUAGCGGUGAAAUGCGCAGAUAUCAGGAAGAACACCUAUGGCGAAGGCAGCUCUCUGGGACGGUACUGACGCUGAGACGCGAAAGCGUGGGGAGCGAACAGG